UACGGAGGAUGCGAGCGUUAUCCGGAUUUAUUGGGUUUAAAGGGUGCGUAGGCGGUUUGUCAAGUCAGCGGUGAAACGCAAGGGCUCAACCCUUGACCUGCCGUUGAAACUGAUUGACUAGAAUGCGGAUGCUGUGGGAGGAAUGUGUGGUGUAGCGGUGAAAUGCAUAGAUAUCACACAGAACACCGAUUGCGAAGGCAUCUCACAAAUCCGUGAUUGACGCUGAGGCACGAAAGUGUGGGGAUCAAAC
rnacentral:rRNA from 1 species